rnacentral:rRNA from 1 species
AACGAACGCUGGCGGCAUGCCUAACACAUGCAAGUCGAACGAGACCUUCGGGUCUAGUGGCGCACGGGUGCGUAACGCGUGGGAACCUGCCCUUAGGUUCGGAAUAACUCCCCGAAAGGGGUGCUAAUACCGGAUAAUGUCUUCGGACCAAAGAUUUAUCGCCUUUGGAUGGGGCCGCGUUGGAUUAGCUAGUUGGUAGGGUAAAAGCCUACCAAGGCGACGAUCCAUAGCUGGUCUGAGAGGAUGAUCAGCCACACUGGGACUGAGACACGGCCCAGACUCCUACGAGAGGCAGCAGUGGGGAAUAUUGGACAAUGGGCGAAAGCCUGAUCCAGCAAUGCCGCGUGAGUGAUGAAGGCCUUAGGGUUGUAAAGCUCUUUUACCCGGGAUGAUAAUGACAGUACCGGGAGAAUAAGCUCCGGCUAACUCCGUG